UCAUUGUUAGUGAUAGUGUGAAGCUGACAGUGCGCGCAAAGUGCCCUCAAACCUGGAUGGAUUACAUCUCUGUUAAAAAAAGGACUUGUGCCCCAAGAAGAAGUUCAAAUUGUCAGUAAACACAGAGUUGUUGUGAGGUUGCAGGCUGACUGAAGCCUGCAGGUAUGGAGGCUGAAACGCACCAUGCUUCUGUUAAAGGAGGACUGGAGAGCUUCUCACAAGCUUUGAGUGGAUGCUAGACGCGGUUGCAAACUGCACUCCUUGUUGAGGAGAAGCUGUGCAGCAGCUGGCUGGAACUAAAUCCUCUACUGUCAUUUUGUUCUGCUCCAGUCGUGUCCUCCAGCAGGCUCCUGGCCAGGGCUCCACUUGUACAGCAAGAUCCUGCCGCACUCCAGGCCAACUGCAAGCAGAGCAGAGGACUGGGCAGAAAGCCACAGCAGUAGCAGAAUCUCCCACAUCCAAGAUGGAAGAACAUGGUUUAAUCUCAGGAGGAAGCACGGAGUCUUCAGAGUCCUCUAAACUGCACGGCCCCCACACUAUCACCUGGACACACACACACAAACUUGUAUGAGCAAUCAAAAUCAUUGAACCAGUCAAGUUGUAGUUUACAUCCAUUUCUGUCCAAAAUGUUAUCACUUCAUCAUUUUAUCCUAUUAGACAUUUGUGUGAAAUUGUAAUAAUUAGAAUGUGAAUUCCUGAGGUAUGGUCACAGUGACCUUGACCUUUGACUAGGGCUGCACCAUUAUGGCCAAAAUGAUAAUCACGAUUUUUUUGAUCAAUA